AUAUUGCGCAAUGGGCGGAAGCCUGACGCAGCGACGCCGCGUGAGGGAUGAAGGCCUUCGGGUUGUAAACCUCUUUCAGCAGGGACGAAGCAACUCGUGACGGUACCUGCAGAAGAAGCGCCGGCUAACUACGUGCCAGCAGCCGCGGUAAUACGUAGGGCGCAAGCGUUGUCCGGAAGUAUUGGGCGUAAAGAGCUCGUAGGCGGUCUGUCACGUCGGGUGUGAAAGCCCACAGCUUAACUGUGGGUCUGCAUUCGAUACGGGCAGACUAGAGGCAGGUAGGGGAGAACGGAAUUCCCGGUGUAGCGGUGAAAUGCGCAGAUAUCGGGAGGAACACCGGUGGCGAAGGCGGUUCUCUGGGCCUGUACUGACGCUGAGGAGCGAAAGCGUGGGGAGCGAACAGG
rnacentral:rRNA from 1 species